rnacentral:rRNA from 1 species
GACGAACGCUGGCGGCGUGCUUAACACAUGCAAGUCGAACGGAAAGGCCCUGCUUUUGUUGGUUGCUCGAUUGGCGAACGGGUGAGUAACACGUGAGUAACCUGCCCUUGUCUUUGGGAUAACUUCAGGAAACUGGGGCUAAUACCGGAUAUAAUCUCCUGCUGCAUGUUGUGGGUUGGAAAGUUUCGGCGGUUGUGGAUGGACUCGCGGCUUAUCAGCUUGUUGGUGGGGUAGUGGCUUACCAAGGCUUUGACGGGUAGCCGGCCUGAGAGGGUUACCGGCCACAUUGGGACUGAGAGACGGACCAGAAUCCUACGGGAGGCAGCAGUGGGGAAUAUUGCACAAUGGGCGGAAGCCUGAGGCAGAAACGCCGGGUGCGGGAUGACGGCCUUCGGGUUGUAAACCGCUGUCGCCGGUGACGAAGAGUGAGUGACGGUAAUGGGUAAAGAAGCACCGGCUAACUACGUG